AGGCAACCACGGUAGGGUCAGCGACUGGGGUGAAGUCGUAACAAGGUAGCCGUAGGGGAACCUGUGGCUGGAUCACCUCCUUUCUAAGGAUGAUCAAGAAUUGGGUGCUUCCUCUUUGAGGAGAGUGUUUCCCUUUUUGAUCUCACUAGACAUAAAGGUUUAAAGCAAUUUAAACCUUAUGCAUAUGACACUCACUUUAAAAGAUAGCUCUCGUUGUAUGAAGAGGCCCCUACCUCUGAGAGAAUGAAGGCGCCCUUUAAGGUGCAGUGCUCAUGUGUUUAGAUACAUAAACAGGCUAGCCGUCUUCGUUUCUCUUUCUUCAGAUGAUGAUCCCAAGCCUUUUGGCGAUCUACACAAACAAGUCCACCGUGGACUUUGAAAAGCGCUUUCCUUUAUAAAAUUGAGCGUUUUGUAAGAGGAUGCCGGGGAAGGUUUUCCGGUUUAUCCCGGAGGGCUUGUAGCUCAGUUGGUUAGAGCGCGCGCUUGAUAAGCGUGAGGUCGGAGGUUCAAGUCCUCCCAGGCCCACCAAUUUAUCCAUUAUUUUCAUAAGUGCUUUUGAAAAAUAAGUACUUCUAAAAUAUCGCUUCUAAAAAUUGGCAUGCUUGUUGCUUUUGUGUGUGUGAUCCAAAGUUAAAGCAGUUUAAUGGCAAAAAAAGCAGUUCAAAUGCUAAAAUGCUAAAAGGUCAAAAUUUUGGGAAAGUGAUUUUUGCAGUGUCUAUUUGGUUGAUGUAAAUUUCGAAUAGUCAUGGACGUAAAUGCCCAUAUAAAACAUAUCGGUUAAAUUAUAUCACUUUGGGUCAUACGUUAUAAUACCUCCUUUAAUCGUUUUACCUGUUUUAGGGGCCGUAGCUCAGCUGGGAGAGCACCUGCUUUGCAAGCAGGGGGUCGUCGGUUCGAUCCCGUCCGGCUCCACCAUGAGGUCAUCAUCAUUGUUGUAAGAACGGUUUUGUGAAAGGUUUUCUAGCCUUUUGCUUGUUCUAUUGAAAUUGUGAAGAGAAGAUAUAUUCAGACAUGUUUUUUUUGAAAGGUUUGUUCUGGAAGGUGAGAUUUUUCUGUGCAGAAAUGCUUAAGAAAAGUGCUUGUCACCAAAAAAGGCUGUUUUAAACAGUUUUGACAAAGAAACCAAACAUUUGAGAAAGAAACAUUGUGUCGCAAGGGAGUGCUCAAAACUCUUGCUUAUGAUUGGAAGCUUAACCGCGCCAUUGAAUAUAUCUCGAGAAGCUGGUCUUUUCUGCUGAUAUUUGUGUUUGUUUUGCACUUUGUUUUGCACAAGGCAGAGAAUGCAACAAACAGUGAAUGAAUAUUGGCAAUGAGAACGAUCAAUUCUUAAGG
rnacentral:misc_RNA from 1 species